GACGAACGCUGGCGGCGUGCCUAAUACAUGCAAGUAGAACGCUGAAGAGAGGAGCUUACUCUUCUUGGAUGAGUUGCGAACGGGUGAGUAACGCGUAGGUAACCUGCCUUGUAGCGGGGGAUAACUAUUGGAAACGAUAGCUAAUACCGCAUAACAAUGGAUGACACAUGUCAUUUAUUUGAAAGGGGCAAUUGCUCCACUACAAGAUGGACCUGCGUUGUAUUAGCUAGUAGGUGAGGUAACGGCUCACCUAGGCGACGAUACAUAGCCGACCUGAGAGGGAGGUCGGCCACACUGGGACUGGGACACGGCCCAGGCCCCUACGGGGGGGAGCAGUAGGGAAUCUUCGGACAUGGGGGCAACCCUGACCGAGCCACGCCGCGUGAGUGAAGAAGGUUUUCGGCUCGUAAAGCUCUGUUGUAAGUCAAGAACGGGUGUGAGAGUGGAAAGUUCACACUGUGACGGUAGCUUACCAGAAAGGGACGGCUAACUACGUG
rnacentral:rRNA from 1 species